UUUAUGAGAUGUGAUUUCAUGGCAAAAGACUAAGACAAAACCGAAGUGUUUGGGGGCGUCCUUAAUCCCAUCUAAACUCUGUUGGUCACUGGGACAGUUUCAACUUCCGGGAGCACCCAGAGAUGUGAACAGGACACCCCACCUCCCAACCCCUGUACAGCAGAGGCAGGAGGCAGCUGGAAUCGUGUGGGCUGCAGACUUAGUGAGUGCUUCAGAGGGAGAGAGGAUGGGAGAGACUGACCUGAUCAGGAAAUGCAGGAGUGUCUGGAGAGUGAAGGGACAAGAUGGUAAUCAGUGCAGGGCUGGCUAAUUGAGACAGCAGAGGAAGAGCAGCAGGCUGCUUUCCAGACCCAGUUUAACAGGAGAGGAAAGGGAGAUCUAAUAGGAAGCCAUAGAGACUUUUAAACUAAGCAGAUAAAUGCUGGGGGGCAGGCCGACUCCAUUCAUUCACAGAUAGCCUCGUGGUGAAGGUAGAUUAGAUCCCUGGGCACUCUUCACACUUGGGCUGACCACACCCAAAGGUCUCUGCUCACCGCCUUUCUCUUGGCUCCUCUUAGGACGAUUUCUGAAGGUUGAAAGGGUCCACAAGACUAAAAAGGGGAUGACAUAACCCAGUGGUGCCAGACACAUGGCUUCCUGCCACAGCCAGAUGCCAGCAGUGGAGGCUCAGUGCAGUCCAAGGCUGCUAAGCCCUUGGGGAUCCUCAUUACGGAAGGCAGUGGCUGCCAACCACCUAUAACUGGAACUUAUCCAGGGUCAGAACAUCUGGGGCAGGAUCACAGGGAACUUGUCCAAGCCACUUUGCAAGGAGCUAUUUCUCAGGUGGAGAGGUUGAAACUGUGGAAGGAAGCCACAGAAACAAAACUAAUUUGGAAGAGGAAAAAGUAGCUUGCAAGGGAGUCUAGGCUUAUGAAGAUGGUUCAAACAAAACAAUUAGCUACUGAGAGACCAGAAGUCAAGAUAGCCAAGGCUGCUGUUGCAUGUUCCCAGCAGUCUUCUCACCUGACUGGCUUACUCUCAAAGUUGCUCCAGUGUCUGUUGACAACAUUGCUUCAAAGUCAAAAAUAACGUUUCUUUUUUGCCUUUAAUGUGUGGUGUGGGCUGUACAUACACAGACAUGAGUGUGCUGAGGUGUGAGUCUGUGUGAGCACAGAAGCAGCCUCGCUGGCAGAGGACAUUGGGUGUCUGCCUUCAUGGCUCUUCAUUCUGGAGCCUCGAGAUGGGGUCUCUCAUGUAAUCUGGAGGUCACCAUUUUGGCUAGGCUGACCAGCAAACUCUUGGGGUCUGUCUGUCUCUGGACCCACCACUCUCCCCAUACUAUCUUUGGUCACAGGUACACACAGCUAUGCCCAGCUUUUUACACACGUGUAGGGGAUUUGAACUUCAAGAUCUUCAUGCUUGCACAUUUGUAGCAUGCCUGAAAGAAAAGCAGAAAAGAGCUGUCAAAAAGGCUGAAUGGCUUGGGCAAGUUUAUUACAACAUGUUCUAAUAUCAGAAAAGGACAGCAAACCCCUUUCUUGCUGUAUGGAAUUUUAAAUGAAGCAAGGAGUGAUUGCCUCUACAGAAGAAAUACACCGUGGACAAGGUAGGUUUAAAAUAGCUUACACCUUUGAUGAAAAAAAUAAAACCAACCUUUAUUUGAAGUAGUACUUUUCAUGUUGUUAUACAGUUAAGAACUUUUUUUUGUUCUUUUGUUGUUUGUUUUUUUGUUUGUUUGUUUUGUUUUGUAUUUUUGACUCUCGAUUAGAAACAAACACCUGAGAUGGGGGAGAGUCGCAGGAGUCUAUGGGGGUGACCCUAGCUGAGACUCCUACCAGCGGGGGAUGUGGAGACUGAAAUAGUCACCCUCUGUAGACAGGUGGGACUUCCAGUGGAGGAAGAGGGACAUCAGUCUACCCACAAAAGCUUUAACCCAAAAUCUGUCCUGCCUAUAAGAUACACAGGGAUAAAAAUGGAGGAGAGGUUGAGGGAACAGCCAACCAAUGACUGGCCCAACUUGAAACCUAUUCCAUGGGAGAGAGCCAGUCCCUGGCACUAUUAAUGAUACUCUGCUAUGCUUGCAGACUGUCUAUGCCUAGCAUAACUGUCUCCCGAGAGGCUUCAUCCAGCAGUGAACAGAGGCAGAGGCCCACAGCCAGACACCAGGCAGAGCUUGGGCUGACUUAUAAAAGAGUAGGGGUUAGAACUGAGUGAGUGGGUAGAGUCAAGGACACCACAAGAAGACCGCAGAGUCAACUAAGCUGGGCCCAUGGGGGUUCACAGAGACUGACCCACCAAAGAGCAUGCCGGGGCUGGACCUAGGCCUCCUACACAUUUGUAGCAGAUGUGCAGCUUAGUCUUCGUGUGGGUCCCCUAACAAUUAGGGUGGGGACUGUCUCUAACUCUGUUGCCUGCCAUUUGAUCCCCUUCCUAUAACUGGACUACCUUGUUGGGUCUCAGUGGUAGGAGGUACACUUAGGCCUACCCUGAGUGGGGUGGUACCCAAGGGAGCCUUCUCCUUCUCUGAGGAAAAGGGGUGGGAGGAGGGGGGGAAGGAAUUUGUAAGGGUGGAACUGAGACAGAGGAAGGAUGGGGACAGAUAAAUUACAGUACAGACAUACUCAUAGCGUAAUACCUUUGUGAUCAUUAUGCAUUGAGACACUCCAUUGAUUGGAUUUGGCAAGUUUGAGGAAUCCUAUGAAUUUUGCUUUUACAUGAAGGUCCUCACAGAUGUUCUGAGAGAACUUCACUGGGUCAGGCUCUCACAAAUUAACCUGUCUAUUUCACUGUUUUAAUAAAGGCAAGGACAGAAACUUAGUUUGUAUGUUUUAAGAGUGGUUCUCAUAAAAAGAUUUUUGAGGGAAGAAAUCCCAAGGACUACAAGUGGGUUCCUAGAGAAAAGAUGGCCGUCACACUUAGUCUUUAGGGCUGGCAAUUUGUGUAUAUUUCAGUCCCAUGUUCCUGCCUUGUUUUGGGCAGGGCUGUAAAUUGAAAAUGUGGUCCCUUGAGCAUUAACUCUGUAGAUAUUCUCCACCUAUGGGUUGCCAACUCUUCAGGGAGUUGGACGACUCUAUCACAGGGGUCACACAUCAGAUAUCCUGUAUAUGAGCUAUUCAUAACAGCAACAAAAUUACAGUUAUGGAGUAGCAACAAAAUAAUUUUAUGGUUGGGAUCACCACAGCAUGAGGCACUGUAUUGAAGGGUUUCAUCGUUAUUGUAGUUGAGAGCCACUGCCUUAGACUCAAUCCAGAAAGAAAAUGAGGCCCUGUGAUUAAGUUAACAGUAGGAUAAGAAUCUCAGGGUCAUUUUGAUUUGCAUUUCCCUGAUGACUAAGAACGAUCAGCAUUUCUUUAAGUGCUUCUUGGCUAUUCGAGAUUCUUCUGUGGAGAAUUCUCUGUUUAGCUCUGUACUCCAUUUUUAAAUUGGGUUGUCAGUGUCUGCCUUCUUGAGUUCUUUAUAUAUUUUGAAUAUUAGCUCUCUGUCAGAUGUAGAACUAGUGAAGAUCCUUUCCCAAUGUGUCCUAUUGACAGUGUCUUUACCUUACAGAAGCUUUGUAGUUUCAUGAGGUCCCAUUUAUCAAUUGUUGAUCUUAGAGCCUGGGCCAUUGGUGCUCUGUUCAGGAAGUUGUCUCCUGUACAAAGCUAUGCCCUACUUUCUGUUCAAUUAGAUGUAGUGUAUCUGGCUUAAGUCGAGGUCUUUGGUCUACUUGGGCUUGAGUUUUGUACAGGGUGCUAGUCAUGGAUCUGUUUGCAUUCUUCUACAUGCAGACAUCCAGUUAGACCAGCACCAUUUGUUGAAAAUGGUUUCUUUUUUUCCAUUAUAUGAUUUUUUUCCUUCUUUGUCAAAAAUCAAGUGUCCAUAGGUUUGUGGGUUUAUUUCUGGUCUUUGAUUUGAUUCCAUUUAUCAACCUAUCUGUUCCUAUACAAAUACCGUGCAGUUUUUAUUACUAUUGCUUGAGGCCAGGGAUGGCGCUACUUCCAGAAGUUCUUUUCUUGUUCAGGAUUGUUUUUAGGCUUUUGCUGUUGUUGUUGUUGUUCUUUUAAGGUCUUUCCACCCUACAUCCACAGAAUGGCUAAGAUGAAAACCUCAAGUGACAGUUCAUGCUGGUGAGGAUGUGUUGCAAGGGGAACACUCCUUCAUUGCUGGUGGGAGUACAAACAUGUACUAGUUUAGAAAUUAAUUUGACAGUUUCUAAGAAAACUUGGAAUAGUUUUAUCCCAGGACCCAGCUAUACCACCCCUGUGCAUAUACCCAAAAUAUGCCCCAGUAUACCACAAGGACACUUGCUCAACUAUGUUCAUAGCAGCUCUAUUGGUAAUAGCCAGAAACUGGAAACAACCUAGAUGCCCUUCAACUGAAAAAUGAAUAAAGAAAACAUGGUCCAUCUACACAUGGGAAGUCUAUCCAGCUAUUAAAAACAAAGACAUUAUGAAUUUUUCAGGUAAAUGGAUAGAACUUGAGGACAUCAUCCUGAUUGAGGUAACCUAUACCCAAAAGAACAUGUAUGACAGGAGCCUAGCAUAACUGUCCUCUAAGAAGCUCUACCCAGCAGCUGACCAAAACAGAGACCCACAGCCAAAUAUAGGAUGGAGCUUGGGACUCUUAUAGGAAGAGUUGGGGGAAGAGGGUCCUGAAAGAGACAGGAACUGCAUAGGAAGACUAAGAGAGUCAACUAACCUGGGUCCUUAGGAGCUCUCAGAGACUGAUCCACCAACCAAAGGACAUACAAGGGCUGGACCUAUGCACCCCCAGCACAUGUGUAGCAGAUGAACAGCUUAGUCUUCGUGUGGGCCCCGAACAAUUGGAACAGGGGCUAUCACAAAAGCUGUUGCUUGUCUGUGAAAUAUGUUCCUGUAACUGGGCUACCUUGUCUGGCCUCAGUGGGAGAGGAUAUGCCUAGACCUGCCUAGACUUGAAGUGCCAGGGUGGUGGACAUACGGGCUUGGGGGUCUCCACCCUCUCAGAGGAGAAGGGGAGAGUGAUCGGAGGAGGGACUGUGUAUUUGGGGGCGGGGCAAGGAUGGGGCAGAGAUUGGGAUGUAAAGUGAAUUAAAAACAAAGCAAAACAUUAGGAUGAGACUUUCUUUAAGGACAUAGCAAAAUGUCUCUGUCUCUCCUCAAGGAAUAUAGCUAAUUUGAAAUUGAGGCUUUAAGGAAAACAAAAUGAACAGAAAAAACUCAUAAGCAAUGACACCUUGAAAAGAUUUGUGAAAUUAAUUGUGCCAAAUAAAUUGUAAGAGAGCACUACUAAUCUCUGAGCAUCCAUGCGUUGUCCCACGGUGGAAAUUAAAACCCUCAGGGGACAUCUGCUGAUAAUAACAUUUCCGAAUAGCCUUGCUUUGACAGUUUGUUUUCACAGCUCUUCUGGGGAGUUGUGUGCUGCUCUUUGUAAUUUACUCUUAGAUCCUGAAAGGCCUUCUCUGGCCUGUAAUCCUAAACUGCCUUGUAGCUUAGAUUCAUUUCCUCAGCUCUUUCCACAGCCAGUCACCCAUUCGUGACCACCCCAUGGUCCCUGGAAGAUGUUCUUUCUGAAGUUCAGCCAGGUUUUCUCUAUAAUAAAUCCUCUAGACAUGCUUCCUGAAUCAUCCGAGUUUGAGGUGAAUUCAGGUGGACUCUGAACUUCUGUGAUGUAACGAGGGAGCAACCUUUUCUGAUAUCUUAAUUAACUCAUGAUGUAUCCAGAAGGGAAAAAGGCUUAAUAUUUGGAGAAGGCUGAAAUCCAGGAAAGCAUAUUUGAAUUGUGAACAAUUAGUUCAAAUUAAACUGAGAAAUGAUUUAACAUUUAAAUGAUUAAACAUUUAAGUGUAUGCAUUUAGUAUAUUAAUGUGUGCAUUUAGUAUAUUAAUGUAUGCUGCAUUAGUAUCAGAACUAAUGAAGUGGUUGGUCGUCAUGCAAAGGUUUUUUUUCUUAAACUAUUAGGAAUUUUAAUUUGCCUACCAGUUUUAUGAUGUACUUGGCUUUCUUUGUCUAUGCAAAUUAUUUGCAUUUUAAUUUGGGCCAUAUGAUUUUAUAGGCCUAAUUUAUCUCCCUCAUUUCUAAAUUAAUAGGACAUUUUCAUUAAAUUUAUAAUUUAAUCCAACUAGACAUCUAUAAGAAAAGACUUUAUUGUUUCAUCUUUGAAAUCUAAAUGCAGAAGUUGCCUUUGAUUCCUUUUUUUGUGCAUGAAAGAGAUGAUGUGGUUGUGGGGAGGGAUUGCCUUCCUUUCCUGUGUAAUGGAAUAUAGAUUCACAGAAACCUAUCGGGUGGAUGGCUGUCUUCUCCCAACCCUAGGAUUGCAUGUAACUGUAGUAUAAUAUCAGUGCCAGCAAACAGACAUUGAUGUAGUCCACAGAGCUCUUUCUGAUGGCAUUAGUUAUGUAUGUGUGCAUGUGUAUAUGUGUAUUCUGCAUUGUGCAUAUUUGUAUACAUGUAAUAUGUAAUUUGAUCACAUGUGUAACUUCACAUAACCACCACUGCAGAUCAAGAUUGUUGGCUGACUAUCAUAACAAGACACAUUGAUGGUCUACUUCAUGGCCCCUGUGCUGUAACCCCAGCUCUGGUGGCCAUUCACCUUCUUCCCUCACUAUAAUUGCAUCAUCCCAUAAAGGCUAUAUGGAUGUAAUCAUGCAGACUGCAUUCUUUUGAGAGUGGAGUUCUCAAAUUCCUUCUCCUAAAUGUUGUUCUAGUUUUUGCAUGUAACAAUGGCUUAUUCCUCUUAACGUUGACUAGGAGUUGUGAUAGCUGGCACAUGUCAGGUAAACUGUAGUAUAGGUAUGUAAUAUACAGUUUACUUGACAAUUCACCCAUUCUGGACAUUUGGUGACUUUCCAGGCUUGAAAAUGCUAUGAAAAAAGCUGCUUUGCAUUUACAUACAAGUUUCUGGAUGAGGAGUAAUUUAGGACUUGCUGUGGUACACUCACGAAUGUCUCUUCUGAGCUGUAUGGUCUCUUACUUACCCUUCUCAUUGCUGUGACCAAGGCCUGACUUAGAGGAUGUGGUUUAUUUUGUCUCUGAGUUUGAAGGUAGAGAGGCCUAGUGGUAGGAUGGCUCUCAGCUCUGGAGGUAGGAGCAUGAAGCUCUUUUCUCAUACCUAGGCAGAUCAGGAAGCAGAGGCAGGAUGGGAGCAGGGACUGAACUAGAAACACCAAGGCCUCCCCCCAUGAAUCCUUCCCUUAAAGCCCCUCUUGGAGGUUCCACAAACUCCCAAGGAGCGGCAGCAGGCAGGGACAAAGCACAAUGUAUGGUGAGUCUAGUUUAAGUCUUGAAAGGGCAACUGUUGACUUUCAUUGACUUAUGCAGAUCUGCCUGAAAAGACCUGGAAUUUGAGGACCGUAAAGAAGAGAAUGUCUACAGUUUAAUGCUGUAGAUAGCCUUACUUCAGUUUCAAUAUAUUUUUAUACAUAAAUGUAACAAAGAAAGAAAUGGUCCAAGGAAGGAAAAGCAUGUAAAUAAAGGUCAGUAAGCACAUACUAAAUAUUAGCAGGGUAGCCCUUUCACAUGACUUUCUCAGGAUGGAUCAGUUACUAGGCAAGUACUACACAUUGUAGCUGGGAAAGCACGAAAUCAAGGCAAAAGGCCAUAUUUAGAUUCAUGGUAGACCACACUCAACAUAUCCUUUCACCAGACUGAGUUCUAUAAGCUGUGUUCCGACAUCCAACAAUAAUAAACAGUUAUAUAAAUUGAAUACAAAUACUUGUCGCAGGAGUCACAAAAUCAUGUCCAGAAACAAUCCAGAAAACAAAAUACUUGAGAUAAAAGGCCCUCUGCCCUUUUUCUAGAACCUCUCCUACAGUUCCCCAAGAGAGUAUUCAACUCAUCGUGCAUCACUCCUUUGGCCGUGUUCCAACAGGCAAUAAUGAAACCAUUUCCCCGAGUGGCACCAGGACUUUGUAUUCUCACCAGCAAUGCAUGGAUGAUCUAUUUUCUCUAUGUACUUGUCACCAUGUGCCACUUUCACUGUUUUUCGUAAAGCAUUCUGAUAGGUGUGUAGUGACAUGGCACUGUGGUUUUAAACCUGUAGCUCUCUCAUAAGAUGGUACUUUGACUGAGAUGGCCCCUGUAGUCUGGGGCAUUUGACUACUUGGUCUUUUUUGGGUAGGUUUAGGAGGUGUAAUCUGAUGGGAGGAAGUCCAUCACUUUGAGAGUUCAAAGGCCACAUGUCAUUCCAAGUUUGUUGUCUCUCCUUCCUGUUUAUGGCUCUAGAUGUGAGCCCUCAGCCCUGCACUCUCAGCUCACAGCUACAGUUGCCAUGCCUGUCUGCCGCUGCAAUCCAUGAUCAUGAUCAUGAUGGACUCUUAUUCUCUGUAACCAUAAUCCCCAUAUUCUUCCUUCUCUAACGUGCCUUGGUCAUGCUGGUUUAUCAAAGCAAUAGGCUCAAAUGGAAAAUAUAGAACUCCUAUGGUAUAGCUAAGGCAUCUCUAAGAUGGGGUUUAUGGCUACAGGUGGUUACAGUAAAACAUCACAGAGCAAAGUGUAGUUGCUGUGGUCUUGUAUAUGUUUCUUCUACUCCUGGUUUCAUUGGGACUUUUAUUAGGGAAGCUAAAUUUUAUCAAAGUUUAAUAUCCUUAAUCCCAAUUGGGAUUAAUCAGAAGAAUGAGGCAGAAAGAUUGGCACUAGUUCAAGUUUAAGAACUGGAAAAAAAAACCAAAAUUCACACAGAAUCAGGGAAGACCCCCAAACAGCAAACACAAUUCCGCACAGAAAGAGCAAUGCUGGAGGUUUCAUAGUACUGAUUCCAAAGCAUCCUGUAGAGCUAUAGUAACAAAAGCAGCAUUGUACUGUCAUACAAACAGACAUACAGAGAAAUGAAAUAGAGUGAAAAAGAAUAAAGGAUCCAAAAAGCAACCCACAGUGCACCGGUCACUUAAUUUUUGACGAAGGUAUUCAAAAGAUGUACCGGGGCAGUAGGGACGGGGGAGUCUUUUAGGAAGUGGUGAUGGGGAAACUGGGUGUCUAUGACACAACAAUGAUGCUAGAUCUGUAUCUUUCAUCCCGCACAAAAUGAAUCAAGACAUCAAAUAAGGCCUGGACCUUUGACAGUGCUAAUGGAGAACAUAGCAAACUACUUCAAGAUACAGGUAAAGGACUGUACAGGCAAGGACUUUCUGAAAAUAAUACAAGAAACAAUCCCAUUAACUGACAAAAGGAUUACACACACACACACACACACACACACACACACACACACACAAACCAAAAACUACUGCACAGCGACAUAAUCAUCAGAGUGAGGAGACAACCUACAGAAUGGAAAAAAGGAUUCUAACUAUGUCUAAGACAGGUUAAUAUUUUGAAUAUGUAAGAACUGCAUGAAUUAAAUGGACAUGGACAAAGCAACUCUGGUCAGUAGUCUAGUGAGUAGAUAGUUUUCAAUGGAAGGAAGACCAAUGGCUGAUACAUACUUGGAGAAGUGCUGUGAGCUUCCCAGCCUGGAAACAAGACACAGAGUAGGAUCCAGGUGUGGCUUUAAAGACUCAUGGUCUCUGGACUUCCUACAUCCCUAACUAUACUGAAUGUGAUGAUAAUGUCUAAAAAGUCCUAAAAGUUUUCUUGCUCAUUCUGAGGGUUAAAAGCCAUUAGGUUAGGUAAUUAACAUCUGUAGCCUAACAGUGGGGGAUUAAGUAAUGUAGCCUUUGUUCUGUCUCAGUUCUAACUUUCUUCCUGCUCACAGGAACAAAAAGGGACACUCUGAAAAGUGAAUUUAACAUUUAUUUCUAAGUUGUGAAAAGUUUCCUAUGAAAGCUCUCUAAGACAAAAAAGGGAAAGCAGGAAGAUCCUAAGCAGGGCAAGGGGAAUUUGUCCUCAGCACUUACACAUCUUUCAGAAUACAUGAACACAUGGUAAAAAGUUUAUCACAAGUUUAUACAUAAAUUCAAAUUAUAAAUUAAAAUAGAUGUUUACAACAGAGAAUGUUUACAUGAGUAUCCAUUAGGAGUAAUUAUCUGGCUAAACAUCCCUCGCCUGUCACAGCUCCACAGGUUCAGAGAGAGUUAACAACCAUAACUAACUUAUUAGUGAAGUUUUAUAAAGAUAAACCCAGUCAAUAUUUUAUCUUCUGCCCUAACAUCUAUAAUAAAUUGUUAGUUCCCUUUUUAUGACCUUUGGUUAACGGUUUUACAACCUCUUGGAAUGUGCUGAAUAGUAGAAUACCUGGUUACUCUCGAGAAGUAAUUAACUGGUGACACUUGGGAGACUGGCAGAGUUCUCAUUGCAGUUUUGACUAUCAGAAAGGACCUAAUAGCAGUCCCACUAUAAAAGAGCUUAAUAAAUACUGGUAUAAUUUUAGGAAUUCUUAUAGGAUCAUCGUAAAGAAUUAACAAGUCAUCUAUUUGUCUCUAUAGCAUCACUAAAAGAUAGUACAUCUUUGUAGUUCUGCAGAGAUCUGCCAAAGGGCUGGGCUAAUACCCAGUGAUAGUUAUCUGUGUAAUGAUAACAGGAAAAGCAUAUUAAUAGCAGCAAUCUUUUCUAAAAUGAUCUUCUUCUGGGCCUUGCCUACAGAGCUUCAUCAUAGAUUUUAAUCUGAGGCGAAGUCAUCUCAGGAGGAUCACCUGCUAGUUAUUAGCUUGUCCUAUGAUGGCUCCUGACAGAAAAGCAUUCAGCAGUCCUGACUGUCAGGGAAAUGCAAAUCAAAACCACAUUGAGGUUGCAUCUCUCCACCGUCAGAGUGGACAUGGUGAAGAGAGCAAGUGAGGGCAGCUGCUGUUAAGGAUGUGGGGAAAGAGGCCCUUGCCUGUGGUAAUGUAAACUGUGAUGCAGUCACUGUGGGGAUCAAGUUGGAGGCUUCUCACAAACCUGAAAAUAGGAUUCCUCUGUGACCCUGUUUGGGUACCUCGAAGGACUGCAAGUGUUGCCACAUCAGUCUGGAUUGCUGCACUAGUCACAGAAGCUGGGGGAUCCAGGCCCAACGCCAUACAGCAGAGUGACCAAGACUGAGACAGUUGAAGACAACAUAAGUCGUUCUUCCUUUAAACUCUUUUCCUCAGGGCGAUAAAAGUUGAUCAACACAGGGUUUAGUCCUGAGAGCAGCUCAGUGUUGUGACUCACAGGCUGUCUGACUGAAACAAGCAGUUCAAGUUGAACUUGCUGCCUAAGCCUGCUUUUAUGCCUGGGACCCCUCCCCCAACUCCCCACUUGUCUGCCUUUGCUUCAGUUCUGGUCACAACCCCAAAAUGCAUGGCACCAUGGCCGCUUCCAGAGGCUUCUGUCAGCCUAGCCAGGGGACUUGUGCCUGUCACACUGGCUCCUCCUUAGUCCCCCGAGCCACCACAGAGCCAGUGUUAUCAAGUAUUACCCAGAGGGAAACUGCACCGCCCAUGACAUUUCUAAUCUAUGAUCCCUUUAUAAGAUGUCUUGACGAAACGAGCACCUUCUUUGGCAUUAACUGAACAAGUGAGUUAUUCACUGGCCCAAGGCCCGGCUUGGCUGUCAGGUGUGUGAAAGCUACAAACCGAAAAUAAUUCAUUUUCCUCUCUAGGGAACAGAGAAAAUGUUCCCCUCUUCCUCUGGAUAAAAGUUACCAACCUCACAGCUGCCAGAGCUUAGAAAGCCCUGCUUACAGGGCAAGGGGUGCUUCCUGUCCUUUUGUUUGUGGGACACUGUGAAGUGCUAGGGUCUUUGUUGUGCAUCUCGGGUUUUGUUCCUCAUGUGGAUUUCACAAUGUUUAUGACUCAGGGAAUGAAAGUAAUGACCAUGGUAGGUUCAACCACAGCAAUAGUGCAGAUACAGGGCUGGUAACCUGUCAGCAGCAGGGGUAAAGGUUAGUUCUUUAAGUCUAAAAAUGGAGACUUCAGGCACUUACCUGGAGAAUGAGAUCUGGCUUCACAUGCAUGAUAAAACCCUAUGGAUCUGGCUUCCCAGGGAUGAGGAAACCCUACAGACAGGACAUAGCUGCAGUCAUAUGAAGUAAUUGAAGAAGAGAAGAAUGCCAUCUUGAAUAUUUUCUUAUUCAAAACAUUAGGAACAAGUGAGCACCUGCAGUCCUGUCCCAUGCAGGGGAUGCAUGCUCUGUUCCUUACCGUCUCGUUUUGAAAGUUCUGAGAAUUUCAAAAUCAGCCAUAAUUACCCCAGCGCUGCUUGUUUUGUGUAGACCCAGAUGAGCUGGUCUCAGCACCAAUGGUUUCCUACACAGUGCAUGCAGCCUGGCUUGUCAAAUGGAUGUCAGGAGCUGCUGACAGACAACAUGGGAGGUGACUGACAGACGGAUAGGUGGCCAAUACCUUAGAACAACAUGCAUUUUAGGUAUGCAUGCGCUGCUCAUGGGCAAAGGCGGGGCAGAAGCCACGCCGCCUGUGAUGUGGCGAACAGAUGUGGUUUGAUGCUGUCUGGGAGAACACUGCCUCCCUCGUCCACAUUACAUCUUCAUUGUCUGUGUCAGUGUUUCUUUGGGGAAUUUUCUCAUGAUCACUUUGGUACAUAGUAUAACUAACUAUACAUCGGUAACUGCGGUAACUGUGAUCAGUGUUGGUCAUGUUUUAUUUUCCACGUCUGCCAUCCACAUCAUGACAUAAGAAAGAAGCCUUGCUUUCUUUAUUUUCUACAUACAGGACUUACCCUGUUGAAGUCACACCCGGUUGGUGGGCUUUCUCUGUGUGUUGCUGUUGUAUUAGAUCUUUCUAGGACUCCAUAGCUUCUCCUCCUACACUGCUCCUUCCCUGUAGGAUCACUUCUCCUCCCGAUGCUUGCUUCCCUUGAGGGGGCCUGAAAUUCCAAACACAUUCCUACUGCAUGCACCGGCCACCAUGCUAUGCUGAGAAAUCAAAGGACCCAGCUCCCCGCCAACGCCCCAGUCCACCUCUGCCGACAUUCAGUGCCUGUGAAAGUCCAUUUCCAAGCGAGCUUGCUACCCUUCCUGCAAACAUUCCUCUUGCUGGUUCAUUCAGUUAUCCACGGGUAGAGGUAAUUCAAGCCCCACAGGCAGUGCUGAUUCCCUAGAAAUCUGGAUCUGUACGGUAGUGAACCUGAGUCUGAAGCAAGACUUGCCUGAGUCUGAACCUUGGUUCUGAAUGUUUAUUACCCAUGCAACUCUGCUGCAUUUUCUCAUCGUAAGAACAGAAAGAUGGCUGGAGAGAUAGCUCAGCAGUUAAGAGUACUCGUUGCUCUUGCAGAGGACUCCAGUUUUGUCCCCAGGCCUCACAUGUUGGCUCACCAUUGUCUGCCAUUGCAUUCCAGGAGAGCUGACACGCUCUUCUGCCUUCUGGAGAUACCGGGCAUACUGGGGAUACACAGACACACAUGCAGGCAAAACGCCAUACACAUAAAAUGAAAUAAAUCUUUUAAAACUACAACAGCAAAAAGAAUAGGACUACUAGUUAUAUUUGAUGCAAAGGACCUCUUUAGGGUUUGGAUGACUGAGGUCAGUGAGAGGUCUUAGAACACAGGAAAUAAUAACAACUCACAUUUGCAUCAGUGCACCCUCUGGUGGCUUCUACUUCCUUUUUUGCCUUUGUCAUCGCUCACCCAGACUGUUGCCUUCCAGUUUUCUCUAUCACAUGACCUGUAGCUUCUUCUUCUUUCUCCCCAGAAUUAUGUCUUAAAAUGAAAUGUGACCACUUAUUUCAUUGUCUCCUUCAAGGGCUCCACAGCAGCACCAAACACAGUUGUCUGUGUGUUCUCAAAGUCUCUUGAGGCCCUGGCUUUUGCUCAUGACUCUGUUUUCUCUUUCUUUUUCCUUGCGUGCUCUGCAGUGUGAGAAUCUUUCCAUUUCUUACCACCCUCCCCCACAGGUCCACCUGAAAGCCUUCAGUUCAUUCUCCAAGCCUCACCUUAAAAGUCCUGUUUUCUAUGAGAUUUCCACAAUCUCCUGUGUGGGAGUCAGGAGCUGACCAGCCCUGCCUAUAGUUGGACUUACCCCCAUCACAGGUCUAACUUCUCUGUCUGGAGGAUUUGCCUUAGAGCUUAUUUUAAUGGUAAAUAUGAAUAUGCUUAAAACUGACCCAUCAAUCAUAUUGUCCUUGACUUUAAUGCAAUGCCAGAUCUGUGAAAGAUGCAUAAAUUUUACGGAUCUGUCUGUUCUGUGAGACUGUCAGUGCUCAGGAGAAUGUGUCCUUGCAUUCCUAGCCUCUGCUUCAGAGCCUGGAGUGCACUGGGUGCUCGAUACCAGCUCGCCAAGAAGUGACUUGUCACCUUACAUGUCAUCAGAAGACCACAGUGUGAAUGUCAUGGUUCUCGGGACUAAAUCACUAAACCAUGCUGACACAUUUUAUCCUUGCCACACUAAUGUGAUUUGUCUUUGUAGAUUUCACACAGAGAAGAAGGGUCCAGGACACCUUCUAGAAGAUGGAAUUUAGAGGAUGGGUAGUAAGUAGUCUGAAUAAUAAUGAAGGCAGAGUCACCUGAGUGUUUCUUGGAUGCCAGGGAAGGUGGCCUGUGUGUGUGCGUGUGUGUGUGUGUGUGUGUGUGUGUGUGUGUGUGAUUCUCAUGUUUCUGGUGGCAGACCUGGGGCUUCUGUUAUACCCAUUCAAUAUCUGGUAGAGCUGAGGUUUGCCUUCAGAUGUAGGGUGUGCUCUUUAUCCAAAGUCUGAAGGCUUCUGCCAUAUUUGCCUUCCACUGGCACCAACAGUCUGUCUAGAUGAGAUUGCAGGAAGCUUUGGGAGGCAGUUACUCCCCCAUUGUGUCUUGAGGCUGAGACUGAUCUGACCUGAGCAGUGUGGAAUAGCUGGAAACCAGCUGUUGGGGAAGAACCGUGCUGUUCUGGUGCUCCGUGUCUGUGUUCUUGCUCUGCUCUCUGCUCUUUUCCAACAGAAGACUUGUCCUGUGCUUGACUCAGCAGAGGAGAUGAUAGAACAGAAAGCAGAAAGCCUUGCUUCCAUUUUCAAAAACCUCAAGUCUCAGAGAAGGGAGACAAUUCAGGGCAUGCAUCAUAUGUCUUGGGCAGAACAUGAAAGGCAUUUUCUUCCCUCCAGAAGAUGCUCUUCUGUCUGGAAUGGUCAGACCCAGAGGAGACUGUGGGUUCCUGAAGCAAGUGCCCAGCACCUCUCCUCCUGGCAGGGUAUUGAGAAAAGAAUGCCUAGGAUCUCGGGUUUCGGGAACAGCCCAGGAGAAGCAAAGAUCUAAGAUGCCAGGCUGUGCCAUAGGACUUGAUGCUCAGAAGGUCCCCUAAGGUUUUAACACCCCUAAUCCUCUUUCUGAAUAUUGAGAUGGAAAAUGUCAAAAAAGGCUUUAUUUAAAGAUUUAUCUCUCUCUCUCUCUCUCUCUCUCUCUCUCUCUCUCUCUCUCUCUCUGUGUGUGUGUGUGUGUGUGUGUGUGUGUGUGUGUGUGUGUACACCUGAGGGUGGCUGAGGAGUCUAGAAGAGGGAAGCAGAUCCCCUGGAAUGGGAGUUAUAGGCUAUAAGCUUCCUGACCCAUGUACGGAGAACUGAACUUGGGUGCUGUGAAAAAUUAACUUUUGAGCCAUUUCUCCAGCCUCAGGACCAGGGUUUGUGCAGCUCUGAUGGGCCCUCGGAAAUGAAGCAAGCAUUUAGGUCACCCCAAACAAUUAUAGCAGCCUGUCCCUAUGCCUUGUCAGAAACACUCUAGAUGACCUCUGCGCCACCUGCUCAUCCAUCCCGCAGGCACAGUGUGGGACGUGCUUGGAUGCUUUGUGUGGGGUCUUGAUCCGGAAGACAUGCUGCCAGUCUACAGGGCCAGUGAGCUCCAGGCACUGCGCUCAGGGGUCAGCAGUGAGCUCUACAGCCGGUGGGCUCUUGCUAUAAACCAGUAGGCCUGUAGGGCCAAACAUCUAUGAUUUCCCCUGUGAUGGACUUCAGAAGUAGUCCUUCAAAAGCGGUGAAUAAUGAGGCAAGAGAUGUGUGUGGCAAACUGGGGGAGAGCACUGGAAUGGAAGUGGGCUGAACAGAGACUUAGAAGUGACGUAGGGCUUCUAGAAGCUGGUUGGUAGCCCUGGAGCUAGGAGGUCUUGUCAGCGAUACGUCCCUCUUCCUGAAGUGAUGUUCCAAGUCGGAACUGUCGCCUCUUCUUGCAGAUGCCCAGACCCAGGCAGGGAAAAGGAAUUUGAAGGAAGCAUCAGAACAGCCCAUGCUUGACUCAAACUCACUCUUUUGAAAUGUUCUCUUUGGGAGCAGUGAGGCCUGGAAGGCCUGAGCCUUUUCCUCUAAAGGAGCAGGUUUAAACAAGCUGCAAAGACUCACUCGCGACUGACUGGCUGCAUCCCAUCCCUGGCUCAGCCGGAUUGUAGACUCUCAGUGACUUUCAAUGUCAUCUGAUUCUCUUCCUCACUCAGUGAUGUGCUGAGGGCCCAAGGGAGUAAAGUGAGGAGGUUCCUUCCGUUUGUUAGGGACAGCUGUGGUCUCACUUGAGGCUCCUCCCACUAGGUUCUCAGCAUCUGAAAAUGAAGUGAUUUAAAGGAGGUGUGGGCAGAAAUAGGUAAGGAGAGUCACAAUAGCAGGAGGCCAUUAACUCCCUUGGCCUGCAGCAGUGAGGGGGAGAGCUCAUCUUAAAUUAACCCACUGAGGCCCAGAGAUCAUCAGACACACUACCUGACCCUUACUUAGAUGUGCAGGGGCUUAGUGGCAGCCAGAGCUAUGACACAGCCCAGGAAGCUCAGCUUCCCCCUACUUAGAACUGGCCGGGAAAGGUCAGAAAAUGGAUCUGGAGGUGCAGCAAGCUGAAGGUGUUAGAAGCUCAGACUUCGUGCUUCUUUCUCGUUUAAUAUUCCUCCUGGGUCAUUUCUCGCCAGUCUCUGAGUACAGGGUAGGUGGGCUGAAUGUAAUGUCUGUGUCAAACAGAGGAGGCAGUGAGCUCUCCCCUUUAGGAGCUGGGAUUUUUAGUCUUUCUUCCUGAUACUUCCCUACUCAGUGAUGGAUGACUCCAUAGUUAACUGCCUAGGGUUUAAAAUCCAUACAUUUGAAUUCCAUUUCCUCUGAGCACUCUAAAUAGUUCCUUAGAGGCUGAGGGCUAUUAGCAUCCUUCUCGGGCUUUUUCUCCUCUUUUUCUUUUUCAUCUCAUACUCAGCCAAAGAAGAAUUACUCAGAGAAUCUUCAGGGGAGCCUAGAUUCUAAGAUUCGAGCUUCUUCUCCAGGAAAGUGACUUGAUAACUAUAAGGACCGGAGCUGAAUUCAGUCACAGAGCAGGUUAUGGAAAUAAAGCGCAGAUCUAUAGGGCAAGUAAACCCCCAGGAAGAGAUUCUUAUUUAUAAUUGUAUUUUUCUUCAAAAAAUUUGUAAGUGUAGGUGCUGAUGAGAUGGUUUAACGGGUAAAAGCAUUUUUCCAGCAAGCUUGAGUUCAAGUCCUGGGAAUUUAAAAAGCCGGAAAAAGCCCUGAUUCACACUUGUAAUCCCAUCAGUCUAGGUGAGAGACAGUAGCUGGAAGCCCUGAAGCUAACAAGGGACAGCUAGAAAAUCAGUGCCUGAGAAUUUGUUCUCUGACUUCCACAAGCUGUCAUCACAUUCACACACACACACACACACACACACACACACACACACACACACACACACACCACACACACACACACACACACACACUCAAAUGUUUUAAGUGUCUUCUUUUUUAAUUGACAAGCAAAUACACAUAGUAAGAUGCUGGCUGAGAUGGCUUGUGGGUAAAGGCUCUUGCCACCAAGCUGGUGACCUGGGCCCAGUUUCUAGAAUUUAUACAGUAGAGGAAAGAGUCCAUACCCGCAAGCUGUCCUCUGACCUCCACACACAUGCUGUGGGAUGAAUAUAUGCCCGAUUCAAAUACAAAUACACAAAUAAGCACAAAUAUAAUAAAAAUACAUAAGCCGGACUUGGGGCACUCGCCAAUAAUCCCAGAUAGAUGGACAGGAUAGUUGAGGUAAGAUGCCCCACACGAACAACAGAGCAAGAGCGUUAAAAAACAAAUUUUCCAGAGGACCUGGGUUCAAUUUCCAGUUCCCACAUGGCAGCUCACAAGUGUCAGUGACUCCAGGUCCAAAGGAUCUGGUACCCUCACAUAGACACGCAACGCAUGCAGGCAAAACAGCAGCACACAUAAAAUAAAAUAAAUUAAUUAAAUAUAAAAAGAAAAUAAUGACAUAUAGUUAUACAAAUGACAUUGUACCUUAUAGACUGAUUUUUUUGAUGCUCUUUUGAGAACUGGUAAGUGUAGAUCAAUGAAGCCACUUUACAGCUCUCUAGCACAUUACAAUAUGAAUGAGCGGUUACAUCCAUAUGACCUUCCUGAUCCACAAACUGGGAGGUGUUGGCCUCUUCACGGCUGUGACCCAAACACUCCUACAAGACCAUCCUUGUACAGUGUGCGAGGCAGGCACGGGGAGUUUAUUGAGUGAUGGGGACAAAUAGAUGACUAGGGUGAGUAGCUACCAGUACAAAGUUCUGUGUGGAGACGUGACAUUUAGUGAGCACUUACUCCCUGGCUGACACUCUUACAGGAAGAGGGGAGAGCCGAGGUGAGCAAGAGAGGAAGUGUGGUUCUUGCCCUCAAUGUGAGUCUCCUGAAAAAGAUACUAAUUAAUCCAAAUUGGGUGGUGAGUCAGCCUAUGUAGAUGGCAUGGCUGUUGUAAUGGGGGAGAGGGGCUGUGACUGAGGGAGCAAGGGGGAUGACACUAACUCUGAAAGGUAGAAUGUGGGAAGACCCAGAAGAAGUCACUUCCUGGCCUGAGGCCAGGAGACAAGGGGAGGAGAAGGGUGGAAUGGAGGCACCACGGGCAGAGAGAGACAACAGCAGGGACAGUCUUGACCACAGAGAAAUACAAGCCCAUGCAGGGAGCUAAGACUAGGCGAUACAAAGACUCUUAGGACGGCUGUGGGCCUUCUAUCCCAUCAGUCUUUCCUGAGGCCUCAUCUACCACCAACUAAACUGUGUAAUCAAAGUCGUGCCAGCAGACUCUUCGCCUCUCUGUAAGCAAAGCCUUUGUUUAAGUUCACUCAGUCACUCGCCAUCUGCAUUUAAUGCAUUCCUUCAUUUCUUUCUAUCUUUUUUUUUUUUUUUUUUGAGAAAGAUGAGUUAAAAACAGCCAUGACAGGAGCUUGGGUAAUGAAGAAUGAGUGAGCCCUUGCACCCCCUCCCUCCCUCUGAUCUGUCCCAGCUCCACCUUGCUUCUUCUGCAGCUGUUGCCAUGGCGUGUAAUGUAUUAGUAAUAAGAGUAGUUGAUGGCUUUCAUUACACCUAUUAAAUGAGGCCCUUAAAGCUCAUUACCGCCCAGGCUUCACUGCAUUAUUCUUUCCUUCUCUACAACUCCAGUGCUCACGUGAAUGUGUGGGCAGUCCUCCCCAUUCCCGGAGAGUGAAUUUGGUGUGAAAUUAAAUGUCAAAGAUAGGAAGAAAGGCUGAUUGAUUCAGAACUGAUUUACCAAUAAAGGCACUUUAAAAGAUGGGGCAUGGGUUUCUGGAGAGCUACUUGAGUUUCAUGUGGCGGGGGCUGCUGCUCUCCUCUAGGACGUUGUAUCUAUUUCUGUCUUCUGGUGUUGCCAUUGCCUACAUGGGUCUUAGCGAUAUGCAUGGGUGUCCAGUAGAGAAGCGGACUGGCAGUCACGUACAUAAUGCUUUGACGUGUCUUUGUCUGGCUUUGAGAAAUGGUGGCUAGAACAGUCAUCAAUGCGGGACUGGAUUUGUGUGUAGGCAAUGGCUGAGUUCUGCUACGACUGGCAGUGCUCAAGGAACAUGGCUGUGUCUACCUCCAUCUAUCUGCCUGCUUCUUGUCCACUGUGGAAAUAUGGUGUACUUUUAUCUGAGCCAUUGAAUAUGUGGGCUUUUUUGUUAGUGGUUUAAUUAAGACCUGAUUAUGACUGGAUAAAAUCCACAUCUUUUUGGGGUAUAGAUGAAGAGUGUUAGCAAGCUUAUGUUACAAUAACUUUUACUACAGUCCCCCCUCUAAUUUGAAUACCUUUUACUGAACCUCAUUCCUGUUUUCUAUUAAUCACAGCAGGCCUCAUUCUCUUACAUUUGUUCAACUCACAAUUUAUAUUAUUCCUCUGACUUUUGUGGUCAUUUGAGUCUUGGAGACAAUCUAUAUAAACAUUUUUCAACUUUCCUUUGUUUUCCCUUCGUGUCAGUAAGCAUGGUUUCUUUAGCAUUUUAUAACCUGGAUGUAGUAAAAAUGAACCAGAUGCCCUGGGACCUGAGAGUGAAUGAAUGAAUGUUAGGAGGAUGGUAGAGCUUGAUGUCUUGAUGUUGGAGGCUAGAUCUAGCUUAGGUUCGAGAGGGAAGCAGAUGAGAAAAACAACUUGAUGAGGGUUUGCUGGGAUGGAACAAAAUGUACCACAGCCCAGGAAGCAGAAGGACCUAGGGCUUUCUCUCCCCUUGACUUUCUCAUUCAAUGGGACACUGAUUAAUGAAGCUAGGGAGCUCUGCUCUUUCAGUCUCUUCAACCAAUAUCAAGCGAAAUAUCCAAGUUGAGUUUAUAAUUGGAAAAGAAGUGACAUUUUUCCUAUCAAAGUUUCUGUUCCUCUUGCCUCUUGCCACUGUGUUUUGGGAAGGACUGUGAUGUCGGGUAAGCUCUGGGUAAAGGCUGGCAAAGCUCUGGAGGGGUGGGGUUCUUAGUGCAGAAAACUAUGCUUAGGAGCAGAAGGGAGACCUUAGAACUGAGGAUGACAAAGAUGUGAGAGUAGGCAGGGUGAAGGCUGGUGACGAAGUGUUGAAGCCAGUAUGAAUAGACAUCGGUCAUGAAUCAGCAAAGUGGGGUUCAAUAUAAACAAGUGAGGCCUACAGUCUCCAUGGAAAUGCAACUAGGAAGACAGCAACCAAAGCAACAGCUCAACAGAACCAAUGGGCAGCAGGCAUCUGCCUAGCAUCCUAAUGAGUCUCCAGAAGAGACCAGCCCAGGACAGAGAAAUUGUGAAGUGGGCUGAAUGUUAAAGUGCUCUCUACAUUCAAGAAUAAUGUUUCUCCAUACCCGCUCCCAAAUUAAUAGGAAUGUUUGUUAAAACAUGUAGAUUCUGGACCUCCUAAAAUGAAUUAAUAGGAAAUAUUCUGGGACCAAGAAACGGGAUAACACGUACUGCAGAGAUUAUCCAGAGAGCACAGAGCUGCUGUGGAACAGAUGAUGUCAGCCUUCACAGCACUAACAAUGUGCUUAUGUCGCUAGAUACUUGGUAGGAUAUUGUUAGGAGAAGGUACUGUGUUUUGGCAUUACAAUAAAAUAAGCAAAGACUUUUAAUAUAAUACGGCAAGGGUUUCUGUAUUAGACGCCAUAGGAGAUACCAUGGGGCUCUGGCUAGAGAUGGAAGAAGCUUUGCUGUGCAGAUUAUGGCAGCGUUCCAAAAGACAAUGGAAUUUUCCAAAGCAGGAGCUGUUCCUGGUGGAAAGAGUGCACAGUGUCUGGAAGGAGCACUGGGCCAUGAGAGCAGAUAGCAGCAUGUGGAAGAACGUUUGUAUUUCCAGUAUACUGGGGUCAUGGGGAAAGCAAGUGCCAGUCUGGUGGGGAUUAGUGGAGUCUGGCAGCAGAGACGCUCUGUGGCCAUGCUUGAUGCUAGCUUGGGAGGAGGAUUUGGAUGUGAGGAGUAGACCGACUCUGUAGGCUCAGAGCUGUUCAUCUGGUGGAAGAGAGAGAAGGUAAACAAAACCAAGAAUUUUUAGGAAAUGUUAACUUUUAUGAAGUAGUGAGGGCUGUGACGAGACUAAAACAGGGCUUUCUCCUUUGGAGAACAUGGUCAGCAGUGUUAUUUAGCCAAAGUGGCACACCCCACACGCCCCCCACACUAGGGCAGAUGAAGUACUGAAGCCUUAGUGGGAAUGAGUGGGAACCCAGAGGGGUAUGGAGAGCAAAGGAACCAAGGAACCUGAAGAUAAACUGGAAGGCAGAGUUAAAGCUGCAGGCUGGGCGAGCCUUUCUAGGAAGAGGCCACGCCCACCCAUUCUCAGACUGGGCAGGACUUCCUGCAGGGAAGUGUCUAGCGCUCCUGCUGCUGGGUCUCCCAGAAGUGCUGCUUGUUCCUGUGCCUGGCUUCCUCUGUUCGCUCUCCUGUAUUUAUUUUCCCACAUUGUUCACCACCAGUUUUUUUGUUUGUUUUGUACUACACUAAAAGAAAGAAUGUUGCUUCUAUGUAGACCAUUCAGGAGUAAUUAAAGACUCCAUGAGUAAACUUAGAGAAAGGUUAGACAAAAGACAGAGAGACUGAGAAGCACAUCAGGGAUGGUUAGAGAGCUGGUUUAGUAGAUCUCCUUGGAUGACUACUCUGAUAUCUUCCCUUAUGGGACCCUUCUUAGUUUUACUUCUUCUGAUUAUAGGUCCUUGUGUGUUAAAUAAACUAGUUACCUUCAUUAGAGAAAGAAUAAGUGCUGUACAGAUUCUGAUGCUACGCCAACAGUGUCAUGCUUUAGAGGACAAAACAACCAAUAUUAUAAAGAUACUAAAAUUUUGUUCUAUGAUUAGAACUAGCCACUAGAAGAAGUGGGGAAUGAAAGGUAGAAGUUUUAAGGUUGCCUCCCCCCACUAGACAAAGGUUCAGAGUAGAAGAAAAAAAACCGGUUAGGCCCUGGGAUUGUAUGUUCCAGGAAGCUUCUCCUAGGACCAUAGAAUGGGUAAUUACAUCGGCUGGUUCCACAACUCUCUCCCAGGAAGUAGCUGACCAUAAAGUUAGAUUAAAAUCUUAGAGAAUAAUCUUGAGAAGCAGGAAGCUCCUCCCAGGAACUGACGGACCAUAAAGUUAAACAAUCUUGAGAAACAUGAAGCUCCUCCUUGUGAUUUUUCACUGGUAUUCUCGACACUUUCCAAUGACGCCAUCCCUGUCCCCUUGGGUUGUGGUUUCUCCCUUUAAAUACCCUUUCUCCCAGCCUCUCAGGGUCAAACUCCACUGCCCCUGCAUGGGAUAUGAGUCUCGACCACAGUGCACUGGUUCCUAUUGAAAGAUCCCCGAAGAGAGACCCUUUCUAAAGUCUUGGGAAAUCGCGGACCCCAGACACAGAGAGACCAUUUUGGAUGUAAUAAGCAAAGGCAAGGUUUCUUUCGGAGAUCUAUUACGGGGAUCUCUGGGUCGACACAUAUCCUGUGCAGGAGACAGAGGUGUCGACCCCGAAGCUCAAAAGUCAGGGGCUUAUAUAGGGAAGGCUAGGGGGUUUGGCGCGGUUACACACAAUUGGCUAAUUUCUGGCGCGGCUAUAAGUGAUUGGCUCAUUUAAACAUGGCAGUGAGAUUACAGCACAGCAGGAGAGUAUGUAUUGACUGGAGCGUACAGGAUUUUAGAAGCUAGGGGUGUAUCAGGGUUUGAAGGACAUCUGGUUAAGGUGUGACUCUGAGUAAGCUGGGGGAGGUGCCUUUCUGCCAGAUGGUUUGGGUCAGUCCUGAUAACUCGGGCUGGUUCCUGCAUUCCUUUUCUUUAUCUUUAUGGUCUGUUAGUCCUAGCGGCAGGGUGGGGCUGCCUGGACUUGCUUUUCACAGUGUUUAGCCCUGAGUUUGUGAAUUUUGAAACUUACUCUUUUAACUUCAUAUUUUUAAACCUUAAAUCUGUAUAAUUUUCCUUUCACUAUCGAUAAACCUCAUGUGAUUACAGCAAGGAUGGUCUUGUAUGAGUUCUUGGGGGGUCGCGUCAUCCUGAGACUUGAGUGAGGGUCCCCCCACCCCCCGUUCCAGGGGUCUUUCAGUUUGUUUGUUUGUUUUGUUUUGUUUUAACGAAAGAUCGCAAGUCAAUAUUUUUUCUCUCCAUAUUCUCUCUUAUUUUGAAAUAACUUUCAAACAUAGAGCCAUCUUGUAAAAUUAACACAAAAUCUUUUUUUGAAUGCUGAUCAUUCGAAAAAUUCAAUGUACAUGGUUUAUUAUUGCUCUGAAAUACUGCAACAUGUGUUUGCUAUGUUCUGUCAUACUCCCCCAAAGGCAUGACGCAACCAUCAAAAUCAGAAAAUUAAUGUUAGUUCGUUAUUACCGUCUAAUUUUCAGACCUUCUCAAGUUUCUCUAAUUACCUAAGGUACAGAAUCCAGUCUAAGGUUGUGCUUGCUGUUCUCUAAUCUCCUUCAGUCUGGUGAGUCUGGCUUUCCUUAACUGUUGCUGCCUUAACACUCUGGAAGAUUACAGGACGACAUCGAGAUUGUACACUUUAUUUCUUACCAAACCUUUAUUUUCCAGCUUUAUUUUCUGUUGAUACUACUUAGUGAGAAGGCUGGGCUGUUCCCAUGACAGGUUUCAAUUUGCUAGUUCAGAAGACUGCCUAAGAACUGGGCAACUCCAGGCAAGCCCAGGCAAGUCAGUUACUAGAAAACAACAACAACCAAAACCAAAACCAACCAAACAAAAAAACCCCAGGCUUCAGGCAGCUACUCAGAAACCACCCAGCCAUCAGAGGCUGCCCUGCCACCUGACCUGAGGCAAGGACAAUGGGUCAGCAGCAGUUUCCAGCCUCCCCCACCUCCCAGGCCCCAGUAAUGAUUCUGGAAUGUCCCUACAGAUGGACUCAACAGAUUAAGAUAGAGGUUGUCUAUUCUAGAAUUCCUCUAAUGUGCUUUAAAUCAGGCCUGUGAGCUCAGCUCCGGGUCUCUCUAUCUUAGCAAUGGGACACCCCAGCAUGCUGAUCUUCUGCAGAAUAAAACACUUCUUGCGUUUACAUUUGAGUUCGGAGUCUCAUCCUUCUGCAAAUCAUGGACCCUUACAUUAGUUCACUUAAUUACUACUACAGUCGUUGUCACAGGGGGCUUGUCUAACUUGUAGUUACUUUUAUAUUUAUUUAUCACUUGUCAUUAUAUUACAAGGGCUAACUUCUUGUUUUCAUGUAUUUGUCCAGCGAAUUUCUGUUUUGUUCAAUGGGUUAUAAUUUAAAGAUAAUUAUUAAUUGUGUUACUGAAAUAAUCCCAGAUUUGGCUUGUGGAAUCCCCUUCAAGCAGGUUCUAGAUCCUUUUUUUUUUUUUUUUUUUGUCACAUAACCAUUAUCCUUAGGGAACCUCCUCCAUUCAGUAUAAUAUGAUGUUUCAAAACCACUCUGCACUUCUCCGGUUCCAGCCCCUAGACAGAUCUGGUGACCUGUUCUUUGCUACCCAUGCACACAUGUGCACACACAUGUAUCCCUAUACCUCUCCAUAUUGAGACUAAUACUUUCUGUUUUAAUCCCUCACAUCUCUAACUCUCAUUCACAACAAGAAACCUGGUUCCACCUAUCCUUUACACUUAGAACACACUUGGUUAUUAGACUAACCCUCCCCACACAGAAUCAAUUUUCUUAGCUGCCAUUUUCUCCCUCUUUCGCUUCCAGCAAAUAUGAUCCACUCUUUUAAUCCCUCUACCACAUGGUCUCCCUUCUGACCCACCUCAGGCUCUAAAGCUCCUGUUAGGAUUUGCUAACCCAGAGAACCUGUGCAAAAAUCUGUCCUGCUGUGAGUUCCUGCUGGGUGUGGUAGCCUAGGUCUAGCACUCAGGAGGCACGGAGGGGCUUAUCUGUUUGAGCUUCAGGCUAGCUAGGAAUACAAGAUGAGAGAAUUUAUCAGACAACAAGAAAAAUUAGAAAUCUUUUUUCUUUUUCUUCAGAAUGAGUACCUGUCAGCCAUGAUUGCAACUUGACCUUUACAGAGAUGCCUGCCUGGCUUGGCCCACAAAAUGGCUGUUGGGCCAAUUUACUUAAGAAAGGUACAAGAGCAUCCAGGAAAUGUUAGAAGAGAGGAGGGCAGGUGGUGAGCAGUGCUAUCCUGUUGGCGAUAAUUAGAAGAAGAAUAAAAACAGAGGACCAAGAAGGACUGCAUAUUUAUUUAGUGAAGCCAUGGGAGACUUGAGGAAGACAGAGGCAGCUCUCAGAACUGCGGAGGUCAGAGGGGAGCAGUGAUCAGUAGAAAGUGGGGCUGAAGACAGUGAUGGUAGGGGAGGAGGACUGUGGUACAUGCCCUGGUAUCCGUUUUGAGAAGUACUCAAUAUGGGCAUUGAAUAGAAAUUAUCCCUAACAGUUCUUAUUAAAUAUCCAGGUUUUUCUGGGCCUUCAUGAGCCUGGCAUUUUCCUCAAAGCAGGAUUUAGAAAAUCUGAGUCAUAAGACCCAUUUUUGUGCAAAUUUCUACGACAAAGAAAAAUGCAUUUAUAAACAUCCCAUUGAAGCUCCAGGAAGAGUAAGCAAAAAGGAUUUUAGUGAAUGAGAAGUAGUACAGGCAACGCAGUAGUAUUAGCAACGCAGAGCCCAGUUAUUAACUAAGGGUGUGCGAAAUGCCAUUAAUGUUUUUAGAUUUGAUGGAGCUUUAAUAUCAUAUUUCACGAAUAGAAAACCUACUCAGAAAAAUUCCGCUAGACCACUUCCAUUUUAAUUAUUUUAGCUUCUCGGAUGUGAAUUUCUUUGCUGUUGGCUAUCUGAGGGAUUUAAUCUCCCAGACGGAGAGAGAAUACACAGUGACCAACGCCGGCUAUCCUGAGGCCACAACCUAUGUCAGACACACUUAAAUCUUCACGGUACCAUGUGAUGCUCAUGUACAAAUCCCCCAUCUGUUUUAUCAGUCUUCUCAAGAUUGCUGUGAUGUCUAGAGUUAGUCCCUAAGUCUCCAGCCAUUUCUACAAGGAGUCAUUGUUGAAUGGUUCUAAGAAAUGUCACUUAUGCAAAGUAGUUGGCUCCAGGGAAACCUUGAAGAGCAUCCAAUAAAAAUACAGCUGAUGAAUAACUGACUCAUCUUUCAGAGAUGUUAAGGUUUUUAAGGAAUUAAUUAUACCACUUACAUUUUAAUGUUUGUUUCUAUUUAAAUAUCUGACAUCAAACUUAUAACUAAUGAGAUUUCUAACAGCUUAAUUCUAUGCUCUUUUUCUCUGUUGUGAGAGAAAAACCUAUUAAAAGAAAAAGUUUGCCUGCCUCACCAUACCUCCUAACCAUCCUGGCUAGCAGUCAGAUGAUGCAAUCUCCAUUAUUUUUAUUUUUUCUAGCAAAAAGAAAAUGUAGAAAUAUUUUAACAUUAACAACAUGAACUGUUUCAGCCUAAAUUGCUAUUGCUUUCUAUCACAUGGGUAUUUUAAAAAGACCCUAAACACGUGUCAAAGAGUUCUGUAUCUGAAGAUAUAAAAAUGUUCUCAAAGUCAAGUUUAUGGCAGAUGACUUUGUAAGAAAAGUAAGAAAAGUGAAAAUACAAUGGCAAGGAGUCAUGUCAGCAGACUUGGGAGGAAAUUGAGACAAUGAAUUAAAAUUCAUCCCAGGAAAUACAAGGAGUAGAUAAUAAUGUAGAAACUGAAGUUCCCAAGUCAGGGAAAGGAGGCUUCUUUGACUGAAACUCACCUAUGUGGCAGAAUAUUCUCACAGGAAGGAUACAUCUGAAAGAAAGGACCCCUGGGGAAAUGUAGUCUUUCCUCACAUUAAAAAAAAAAAAAUCAGUGGCAGCCCAGAGACCUGAAGCCUGACAGAAACAGCUCUUUGAGAUGAGCUAGUUCCCAGUCAGACUCAGCUUGCUAGUCAGUCAUCUUGCCUUGACCACGCCCUGGCCUCCUCAGCAGAUCUUUACAGUUCUCAUUUUCAUUCUAUGUUUUUCUUGGUUUUGCGCUCUCUCUCUCUCUCUCUCUCUCUCUCUCUCUCUCUCUCUCUCUCUCUCUGACUUAUAUAUCUCCCCUUCAAAAGGAGAUCAAGGUAUAAGCAAUACAAAUCUCGAAUCAACCCUGUUAACUACAAAACAAUAGCAGAAAUAGAAAUGGACCCUGAGUCAAGGGCUGUGACGGAGACCAGGCUAGGAGUGAAGAGGAGGGAAAAGGUUAUAUGUCGGAACACAUGUUUGCCAUGUGAUCAGAAUGGCGUGUUUCUGCAGCCUUUCUUUGGGUUGCUGGCUUUUACGUAAACAAUUGUGGCCUUGGUGCGCUUAGUACACAUGAUAAAAAACAAAACAAAACAAAACAAAAAUUGACCGUGGCCCUAGUCAGUGAUAAGCUUCCCGUACACUACAAUUAAAAUAUGUGUUUAGUCAUCUCCGUUUGAAGUUUUGCCUGUUUGGUUGGUUGGGUCUCCCCCCCGGGGGGGGGGGAGCGGGGGUUUAUUAACAGAUUUCAUUUCUAGUGCUUUUUUUCCCCAAAAUGAGCCAGGGGAGAUUAAAAGCUAAGUAGGAUGCAGAGACUGAUUUCCCUUCUGACCUUUAUGAGGAUGCAAACAGUGAGCACAGUUUGGGUUUUGAACUUUUCUCUUUAUUUUCUUUCCUAUCAGGUCUCUCCAGUUAGCCACAGUUCCAUGAGCUUCUCACAUCAGGACGACUCCAAUCGCUGCUGUUUGCUGUAAUGCAUACCAGUUCCAUGAGGGGCUCUUGCCUCCUUUCAAGUUUUCAUGUGUUAAUAGCAUGGUUGGAGCUUUUCUCACCCACGUUAAUUUUUACUUUUUAUAAUGUUUAAAAAUCAAAAUAUAAUUACAUUAUCUCUCUCCUCCCUUCACCUACUCCCGUGUAUUACCCCCUUGGUACCUCUCAAUCUCAUGGCCUCCUUUUAUCAUUAAAUCGUCUGGAUAAACAGAUAAACAUAUAAAUACAACAGAUUUGCUCUGCC